rnacentral:rRNA from 1 species
UACAGAGGUCUCAAGCGUUGUUCGGAUUCAUUGGGCGUAAAGGGUGCGUAGGUGGCGCUGUAAGUCGGGUGUGAAAUUUCGGAGCUUAACUCCGAAACUGCAUUCGAUACUGCGGUGCUUGAGGACUGGAGAGGAGACUGGAAUUCAUGGUGUAGCAGUGAAAUGCGUAGAGAUCAUGAGGAAGACCAGUGGCGAAGGCGGGUCUCUGGACAGUUCCUGACACUGAGGCACGAAAGGCCAGGGGAGCAAAACGGGG